rnacentral:lncRNA from 1 species
AGCACCUGCAUGCUUACUUUAGUGUCCCUACACUAAUGAUUUGAGAUUCGCCAACUUAACUUAGAAGUAUAGCAUACCCGGCCUAUCCGGAAAUAUCAUCGCCCUUAUGGUAUUCCUAUGACUAGGAGCAUUUAAGAAUCUUGUACAAAGAAAUAUAUAUCUCAAAUUCCUAACUCUUAGGAAUAUAUUUUCUUAACGAAGAUUCAAUGGACGAUUCAUAUAAAUAUAUUGUACUGCUAACAAUAAAUAUAAAUAAAACUUGCCCUUUAUUAAAUAAGAAAAAUACUUAAUAUGUUCACAAGCCUAUGUCACCGAUUGACUUUAGGGUAUAUCACUAACAAC